AUGUGCUAAUACCGCAUAAUAUCUGAGGAGGAAAGCAGGGGAUCGCAAGACCUUGUGCUUUUGGAGCGGCCGAUGCCUGAUUAGCUAGUUGGUAGGGUAAAGGCCUACCAAGGCUUCGAUCAGUAGUUGGUCUGAGAGGACGACCAGCCACACUGGGACUGAGACACGGCCCAGACUCCUACGGGAGGCAGCAGUGGGGAAUUUUGGACAAUGGGGGCAACCCUGAUCCAGCCAUGCCGCGUGAGUGAAGAAGGCCUUCGGGUUGUAAAGCUCUUUCAGUCGGGAAGAAAAGGUUGUGACUAAUAAUUGCAAUUCAUGACGGUACCGACAGAAGAAG
rnacentral:rRNA from 1 species